rnacentral:rRNA from 1 species
GACAGAGGUGCCGAGCGUUAGGCGGAAUCACUGGGCUUAAAGCGUGUGUAGGCGGGUCCGUAAGUACCUUGUGAAAUCCCAUGGCUCAACCAUGGAACUGCUUGGUAUACUGCGGAUCUUGAGCCACCUAGGGGCAAGUGGAACAAACGGUGGAGCGGUGAAAUGCGUAGAUAUCGUUUGGAACGCCAAUGGUGAAAACAACUUGCUGGGGGUGUGCUGACGCUGAGACACGAAAGCCAGGGGAGCAAACGGGG